rnacentral:tRNA from 2 species
GGUGAGAUGGCCGAGUUGGUUAUGGCGCCAGGUUAAGGUUACCUUAACAUUAAUUCCUGGUCACGAAAGUGGCGUGGGUUCGAGUCCCACUCUCAUCA